GAAAAGUGGAGAGCAUCCCGUGAUGGUGGAGAGUAUCCUGCGACGGUGGAGAGCAACCCGCAAUGGCAGAGAGCUGAAGCCACAAGACGGUAAGGAGAAAUGAGAAAUGAGUAGUGGUGGUGUGAAACUGAGAUGGUAAAGAAAAAUGAGGAGAAAUGAGCGUGUUUGCCAAUUAUAUUGACACUGGAGGCGAAAUUUGGGCGGG
rnacentral:lncRNA from 1 species